GAUGAACGCUGGCGGCGUGCCUAAUACAUGCAAGUCGAGCGAACGGACGAGAAGCUUGCUUCUCUGAUGUUAGCGGCGGACGGGUGAGUAACACGUGGAUAACCUACCUAUAAGACUGGGAUAACUUCGGGAAACCGGAGCUAAUACCGGAUAAUAUUUUGAACCGCAUGGUUCAAAAGUGAAAGACGGUCUUGCUGUCACUUAUAGAUGGAUCCGCGCUGGAUUAGCUAGUUGGUAAGGUAACGGCUUACCAAGGCAACGAUGCAUAGCCGACCUGAGAGGGUGAUCGGCCACACUGGAACUGAGACACGGUCCAGACUCCUACGGGAGGCAGCAGUAGGGAAUCUUCCGCAAUGGGCGAAAGCCUGACGGAGCAACGCCGCGUGAGUGAUGAAGGUCUUCGGAUCGUAAAACUCUGUUAUUAGGGAAGAACAUAUGUGUAAGUAACUGUGCACAUCUUGACGGUACCUAAUCAGAAAGCAACGGCUAACUACGUG
rnacentral:rRNA from 1 species